rnacentral:rRNA from 1 species
UACGUAGGGUGCAAGCGUUGUCCGGAAUUAUUGGGCGUAAAGAGCUCGUAGGCGGUUUGUCGAGUCUGCUGUGAAAACUCGGGGCUUAACCCCGGGCCUGCAGUGGGUACGGGCAGACUAGAGUGCGGUAGGGGAGACUGGAAUUCCUGGUGUAGCGGUGAAAUGCGCAGAUAUCAGGAGGAACACCGGUGGCGAAGGCGGGUCUCUGGGCCGUAACUGACGCUGAGGAGCGAAAGCGUGGGGAGCGAACAGG